rnacentral:lncRNA from 1 species
UUCAUUUAGUUUUGUCAGCCUGGCGGGUGGCAGCUGUCCAGAGAGAGGAAGCAGCCAACGUUCUUUGUGGUUGUCCUGACAGACAUUGACUCAGAUCGACAUUACUGCUCAUGCCUAACCUUCUAUGAGGCAGAGAUCAAUCUUCAGGGAACAAAGAAGGAAGAGAUUGAAGGUGAAGCAAAAGUGUCUGGUUUAAUUCAGCCUGCAGAAGUGUUUGCUCCCAAAAGCCUGGUGUUGGUAUCCAGAUUAUAUUAUCCAGAAAUUUUUAGGGCUUGCCUGGGUUUGAUCUAUACCGUGUAUGUGGACAGCCUGAAUGUCUCCUUGGAAAGUCUAAUUGCAAACCUUUGUGCCUGCCUUGUCCCAGCGGCUGGAGGGUCUCAGAAGCUGUUUUCUUUGGGUGCAGGAGAUAGACAGUUGAUCCAGACUCCUUUACAUGAUAGUCUUCCUAUCACGGGCACUAGUGUGGCUCUCCUGUUCCAGCAAUUGGCUUUGAAUGGAUGUUGGGCUACAGAAGGUGAGACAAUUCAGUUAUAUAGAAAACUGAUUUUGACUUACAAAAUUAAAAGAAACUGGAUUUCUCAAUAGCUAUGUAACUGUGAACACAGCAACAAACACUGCUACAUAGGAAUAAAAAUCAUUAAUGUAAUUUAAAAUAUUUGAGAUUAUUAAUUAUGUAAAACUUGCCAGGCACGGUGGCUCACGCCUGUAAUCUCAGCACUUUGGGAGGCCGAGGCGGGCAGCUCACGAGGUCAGGAGAUCGAGACCAUCCUGGCUAACACGGUGAAAUCCCAUCUCUACUAAAAAUACAAAAAAUUAGCCGGGCAUGGUGGCCCGUGUCUGCAGUCCCAGCUACUCGGGAGGCUGAGGCAGGAGAAUGGCGUGAACCCAAGAGGCGGAGCUUGCAGUGAGCUGAGAUCGCACCACUACACUCCAGACUGGGCGACAGAGCGAGACUCCAUCUCAAAAACAAUAAUAAUAAUAAUAAUAAUGUAAAACUUA